rnacentral:lncRNA from 1 species
AUGGACCUAGCCGACUCAUUAUUGUGGCCAGGAGCGGCCGCUACUCUUGGGCUUGGCCUCCAGCAGCUCCAGUGGGGACGCCGGCGCCACCACGAGGAGACCGCGGACGACUGGAAGUGCCAGUGGUGGGUGACCCUCGGCGCGAGGUCAGCGCUCCUGCAGGCGGCGCUCACGGUACGGGCUGGCGAAAGUGGAGACGGACCGCAGGAUGGAUUCACUUGGCCACUGGGCCGGGAGCUGGGAAGAGAGACACCGGCUGGGAAAGGGUUUCUUCUGGCCAUAAAAGCUACUCCAGUGGCUGUGGGAGACUAA